rnacentral:rRNA from 1 species
UACCUACCACCCUUUGUUUAUUACACUUUGUUGCUUUGGCAGGCCUGCCCUCGGGCUGCUGGCUCCGGCCGGCGAGCGCCUGCCAGAGGACCUAAACUCUGUUUGUCUAUAUCGUCUGAGUACUAUAUAAUAGUUAAAACUUUCAACAACGGAUCUCUUGGUUCUGGCAUCGAUGAAGAACGCAGCGAAAUGCGAUAAGUAAUGUGAAUUGCAGAAUUCAGUGAAUCAUCGAAUCUUUGAACGCACAUUGCGCCCCCUGGUAUUCCGGGGGGCAUGCCUGUCCGAGCGUCAUUACAACCCUCAAGCUCAGCUUGGUAUUGGGCCCCGCCGCUCCGGCGGGCCCUAAAGUCAGUGGCGGUGCCGUCCGGCUCCGAGCGUAGUAAUUCUUCUCGCUCUGGAGGUCCGGUCGUGUGCUCGCCAGCAACCCCCAAUUUUUUUCAGGUUGACCUCGGAUCAGGUAGGGAUACCCGCUGAACUUAAGCAUAUCAAUAAACGAGAGGA